rnacentral:hammerhead_ribozyme from 1 species
AUCCAGCUGACGAGCCCCAAAACGGACGAAACGCUCGUCCUGGAU